CAGAGACCUCAAGCGUUAUCCGGAAUCAUUGGGCGUAAAGCGUACCGAUAGGUGGUUUAUUAAGUCUUGGGUAAAAGCCGGAAGCUCAACUUCCGCGUUUGCUUAAGAUACUAAUAGACUAGAGGGGCAAAGAGGAGAUUGGAACGAGCGGUGUAGUAGUGAAAUGCGUUGAUAUCGUUCGGAACACCGAAAGCGAAGGCAGAUCUCUGGGUGCCACCUGACACUGCUAGGACGAAAGCGUGGGGAGCGAAUGGGAUUAGAUACCCCAGUAGUCCACGCUGUAAACGAUGAAUGCUAGGCAUACGCGAGUAUCGACCCUCGUAUGUGCCGCAGCUAACGCGAUAAGCAUUCCGCCUGGGGAGUACGGUCGCAAGACUA
rnacentral:rRNA from 1 species